UACGGAGGGCGCAAGCGUUAUCCGGAUUCACUGGGUUUAAAGGGUGCGUAGGCGGGUUGGUAAGUCAGUGGUGAAAUCUCCAGGCUUAACUUGGGAACUGCCAUUGAUACUAUCAAUCUUGAAUACCGUGGAGGUCAGCGGAAUAUGUCAUGUAGCGGUGAAAUGCUUAGAUAUGACAUAGAACACCAAUUGCGAAGGCAGCUGGCUACACGAAUAUUGACACUGAUGCACGAAAGCGUGGGGAGCAAACAGG
rnacentral:rRNA from 1 species